rnacentral:rRNA from 1 species
UGGGGAAUAUUGGGCAAUGGGGGAAACCCUGACCCAGCGACGCCGCGUGAGGGAAGAAGGCCUUAGGGUCGUAAACCUCUGUUGUGUGGGAAGAAGAGCGUGACGGUACCACACGAGGAAGUCCCGGCUAACUACGUGCCAGCAGCCGCGGUAAUACGUAGGGGACGAGCGUUGUCCGGAUUUACUGGGCGUAAAGGGCGCGUAGGCGGUCAUUUAAGUCAGCUGUGAAAUGGUUUGGCUUAACCGGAUCAUGCGGUUGAAACUGGAUGACUGGAGUGCUGGAGAGGCAAGUGGAAUUCCCAGUGUAGCGGUGAAAUGCGUAGAUAUUGGGAAGAACACCGGUGGCGAAGGCGGCUCUCUGGACUGUCACUGACGCUGAGGCGCGAAAGCUAGGGGAGCAAACG